UUAUUAAUUUUUUUUGCACACACAAAAAAAUAAACAUUUUCUAAAAAUACAUACAAACAAAAAGAUGCGUAUCAAACAUAUUAGGAAGGUUGCACAUGGGAAGUUGGGGAAUAGAAAUGGGGGGUGGGAGUUAAAAUAAAUGAGAGAGGGACUUUAUAUGGAUCAGUGAUAAUAACUCAAUCCUCUAUUUGACAAAGAAGAGGGAGAAGGAAGAGGAAGAAAAAGAAAGUGGGAUAAAGGAUCAGAAAGGGAGGAAAAUAGAAAAAAUUAGAGUAUGACUCCAGGGUAGACCUGUUUCGUUGUCACUGAGUUGGUUGGUUAGCUUGUCUGUUGUAUUUUUCAUGUUUCGCCAAGUUGGCCAGACUGGUCUCGAACUCCUAGCCUGAAGUCAUCAACCCGCCUCACCCCCCAGAGUGCUGGGACCACAGGCGUGAGCCACCACGUCCAGCCCCCACAUUGCUUCUGGCCUCCGUGGUAGACCUCCCAGACGGAGCGGCCGGGCAGAGGCACUCCUCACUUCUUCCCGGACGGGGCGGCCGGGCAGAGGAGCUCCUCACUUCCCAGACGGGGUGGCCGGGCAGAGGCGCUCCUCACCUCCCAGACGAUAGGUGGCCGGGCAGAGGCUCUCCUCACUUCCUCCCGGACGGGGCGGCCGGGCAGAGGCGCUCCUCACUUCCUCCCGGACGGGGCGGCCGGGCAGAGGCGCUCCUCACCUCCCAGACGGGGUGGCCGGGCAGAGGCGCUCCUCACCUCCCAGACGAUGGGUGGCCGGGCAGAGGCGCUCCUCACCUCCCAGACGAUGGGUGGCCGGGCAGAGGCGCUCCUCACCUCCCAGACGAUGGGUGGCCGGGCAGAGACGCUCCCCACCUCCCAGACAGGGCGGCGGCCGGGCAGGGGCUGCAUUCCCAGCACCCUGGUAGGCCGAGGCAGGCGGCUGGGAGGCGGAGGCUGCCGCGAGGCCAGACCACGCCACCGCACUCCAGCCCGGGCAACACGGAGCUCCGUCUGCAGUCCCAGUACCUCGGGAGGCUGAGGCGGGCAGAGCACUCGGCGUCAGGAGCUGGCGACCAGCGUCGCCAAGAUGGCGAACGCGUGCCUGCAGCCAAAGGAGAAAAAGCAGGCAGCGGUGGCGCGCGCCGGUAGUCCCAGGCAGUCCGCGGCGCGGGUAACAGCGAGCUGAGUAGAUUGCAGCCCGGGCCACGGAGGGAAAGAAAGAAAGAAAGAGAGGAAGAGAGGAAGAAAGGAAGGAAGGAUGCAACGCUCAAGAUGUUAUAUGUGAAGCAGAGACCAGGCCCUUACCAGACGCUGAGCAUGCCAGCUCCUUGAUCUUGGACUUCCCAGCCCCUUCAAUGCUGUGUAAGGUGAGAUUGUCUCCAUAUACCUCAACCAACGCAACACAUUGCAGCAAAU